AACGAACGCUGGCGGCAGGCUUAACACAUGCAAGUCGAACGCUCGUAGCAAUACGGGAGUGGCGGACGGGUGAGUAACGCGUGGGAACGUGCCCUGAGGUACGGAAUAACUGCGGGAAACUGCAGCUAAUACCGUAUGAGCCCCGUGAGGGGGAAAGAUUUAUCGCCUUAGGAGCGGCCCGCGUCGGAUUAGCUAGUUGGUGGGGUAACGGCUUACCAAGGCUUCGAUCCGUAGCCGGUCUGAGAGGACGAUCAGCCACACUGGGACUGAGACACGGCCCAGACUCCUACGGGAGGCAGCAGUGGGGAAUCUUGCGCAAUGGGGGCAACCCUGACGCAGCCAUGCCGCGUGAAUGAUGAAGGCCUUAGGGUUGUAAAGUUCUUUUGCCCGUGACGAUGAUGACGGUAACGGGAGAAUAAGCUCCGGCUAACUUCGUG
rnacentral:rRNA from 1 species